rnacentral:rRNA from 1 species
GACGAACGCUGGCGGCGUGCUUAACACAUGCAAGUCGAACGGAAAGCGAUGGAUUCUUUCGUCUAUCAGUCUUAGUGGCGGACGGGUGAGUAACGCGUAAUCAACCUGCCCUUCAGGGGGGGCCAACAGUUAGAAAGGCCUGCUAAUACCGCAUACGAUCUAAACUCGGCAUCGAGGGUAGAUUAAAGGUGGCCUCUACAUGUAAGCUAGCACUUAAGGUGGUGGGUGCGUCUGAUUAGCUAGUUGGAGGGGUAAGGGAGCUUCAAGGCGAUGAUCAGUAGCAGGUAUGCGAGGAUGAAUGGCCAGCUUGAGACUGUGACACGGCACAGAGUCAUACGGGAGGCAGCAGUAGGGAAUCUUGCGGCAUCGAUGAAAGUCUGAGGGAGCAACGCGGAGUGAGUGAUGACGGACUUCGGGUUGUAAAGCUCUGUUAAUCGGGACGAAAGGGCUUCCUGCGAAUAGGGAGAAGGAUUGACGGUAACGGAAUAGAAAGCAACGGCUAACUACGUG